AUUGAACGCUGGCGGCAUGCCUUACACAUGCAAGUCGAACGGCAGCACGGGGGCAACCCUGGUGGCGAGUGGCGAACGGGUGAGUAAUACAUCGGAACGUGCCCCGUAGCGGGGGACGAACCAGUCGAAAGACUGGCUAAUACCGCAUACGCUCCACGGAGGAAAGCAGGGGAGUCGCAAGACCUUGCACUAUGGGAGCGGCCGAUGCCCGAUUAGCUAGUUGGGAGGUAAGGCUCACCAAGGCAACGAUCGGUAGCUGGUCUGAGAGGACGACCAGCCACACUGGGACUGAGACACGGCCC
rnacentral:rRNA from 1 species